ensembl:snRNA LOC120097607 U2 spliceosomal RNA
AUCGCUUCUCGGCCUUUUGGCUAAGAUCAAGUGUAGAAGUCUAUGAUGUUCAUUGCUUCAAUUAUCUGGGCAUAUAUUUAUUCAAUAUAAUAUAAUGUAAUACAAUUAAUAUAAUAUAAAUGAAAGAAAGUAAGGGAAUGAUUUCAGCUGUUUUCAUCUAGUCCUUAGUAAUCUUUUUGCUGACUAAACCUUCC